CGGCAGCACGGGUGCUUGCACCUGGUGGCGAGUGGCGAACGGGUGAGUAAAGCAUCGGAACGUGCCCAACUGUGGGGGAUAACGCACCGAAAGGUGUGCUAAUACCGCAUAAGCCCUGAGGGGGAAAGCAGGGGAUCUUAGGACCUUGCGCGGAUGGAGCGGCCGAUGUCGGAUUAGCUAGUUGGUGAGGUAAAGGCUCACCAAGGCGACGAUCCGUAGCUGGUCUGAGAGGAUGAUCAGCCACACUGGAACUGAGAGACGGUCCAGACUCCUACGGGAGGCAGCAGUGGGGAAUUUUGGACAAUGGGGGCAACCCUGAUCCAGCCAUGCCGCGUGAGUGAAGAAGGCCUUCGGGUUGUAAAGCUCUUUCGGCCGGGAAGAAAUCGUGCAGUCUAAUACACUGUAUGGAUGACGGUACCGGAAUAAGAAGCACCGGCUAACUACGUGCCAGCAGCCGCGGUAAUACGUAGGGUGCGAGCGUUAAUCGGAAUUACUGGGCGUAAAGCGUGCGCAGGCGGUUUUGUAAGACAGGCGUGAAAUCCCCGGGCUCAACCUGGGAAUGGCGCUUGUGACUGCAAGGCUAGAGUACGGCAGAGGGGGGUAGAAUUCCACGUGUAGCAGUGAAAUGCG
rnacentral:rRNA from 1 species